rnacentral:rRNA from 1 species
AUACGUAGGGAGCGAGCGUUGUCCGGAAUUACUGGGCGUAAAGGGCGCGUAGGCGGCGCUUCAAGUCGUCUGUCAAAUGGGAGGGCUUAACCCUUUUUCGCAGACGAAACUGGAGAGCUUGAGAAGCUGAGAGGCAAACAGAAUUCCUGGUGUAGCGGUGAAAUGCGUAGAUAUCAGGAAGAAUACCAGUGGCGAAGGCGGUUUGCUGGCUGCAUACUGACGCUGAAGCGCGAAAGCCAGGGGAGCGAACGGGAUUAGAUACCCCGGUAGUCCUGGCAGUAAACGAUGUAUGCUGGGUGUGAGACUAGCGAUAGUUUCGUGCCGAAGUUAACGCGAUAAGCAUACCGCCUGGGGAGUACGGUCGCAAGAUUGAAACUCAAAGGAAUUGACGGGG